rnacentral:misc_RNA from 1 species
GAUGAAGAACGGCAGCGAAAUGCGAUACGUAAUGUGAAUUGCAGAAUUCAGUGAAUCAUCGAAUCUUUGAACGCAUAUUGCGCUCUCUAGUAUUCCGGAGAGCAUGCUUGUUUGAGUAUCAGUAAACACCUCAACUCCCUUUUCUUUUUUGAAAUGGGAGCUGGACUUGAGUGAUCCCAACACUUUUCUCACUGGAAAGUGGCGGGUCACUUGAAAUGCAGGUGCAGCUGGACUUUUCUCUGAGCUAUAAGCAUAUCUAUUUAGUCUGCCUAAAAAACAGAUUAUUACCUUUGCUGCAGCUAACAUAAAGGAGAUGAGUUCUUGUGCUGACUGAUGCAGGAUUCACAGAGACAGCUUUGCGGCUGACUUUGUAAACUCGAUCUCAAAUCAAGUAAGACUACCCGCUGAACUUAAGCAUAUCAAUAAGCGGAGGA